AAGAAUGAAGAACAUUAUGAUGCUCCAGAGAUGAAGUGUUCUCCAGGCUUCAUGACUCUGGUACUCUUAAUGCUUGGACAAAUCCGUGGAGACUCAGUGACUCAGAUGGAAGGCCAAGUGACCCUCUUAGAAGAGGCUUCUCUGACUGUGAACUGCACUUAUUCAGCAUUAGGGUCCCUUACUCUUUUCUGGUAUGUCCAGUAUCCCAGUGAAGGUCUACAGCUCCUCCUGAAAGCCUUGAGGGACAAGGAGAAAGGAAGCAACAAAGGAUUUGAAGCCACCUACAACAGCAAAUCGAAAUCCUUCCACUUGGAGAAAGGCUCAGUGAAAGCCUCAGAUUCAGCUGUGUACUACUGUGCCCUGAGUAACACAGUGAUGGGGACUGUAGGGGGAGCUGAGCACAAACUGAGCAGAACAGGGGCCUGGAUGCUGAGCAUCUCUGCCUGA